CAGUCGAGCGGACCUUUUAAAGCUUGCUUUUGAAAGGUCAGCGGCGGACCGUUGAGUAACACGUGGGCAACCUGCCUGUAAGACUGGGAUAACUUCGGGAAACCGGAGCUAAUACCGGAUAAUAUAAGGAACCUCCUGGUUCUUUAUUGAAAGAUGGUUUCGGCUAUCACUUACAGAUGGGCCCGCGGCGCAUUAGCUAGUUGGUGAGGUAAUGGCUCACCAAGGCGACGAUGCGUAGCCGACCUGAGAGGGUGAUCGGCCACACUGGGACUGAGACACGGCCCAGACUCCUACGGGAGGCAGCAGUAGGGAAUCUUCCACAAUGGACGAAAGUCUGAUGGAGCAACGCCGCGUGAGCGAUGAAGGCCUUCGGGUCGUAAAGCUCUGUUGUUAGGGAAGAACAAGUGCGAGAGUAACUGCUCGCACCUUGACGGUACCUAACCAGAAAGCCACGGCUAACUACGUGCCAGCAGCCGCGGUAAUACGUAGGUGGCAAGCGUUGUCCGGAAUUAUUGGGCGUAAAGCGCGCGCAGGUGGUCCUUUAAGUCUGAUGUGAAAGCCCACGGCUCAACCGUGGAGGGUCAUUGGAAA
rnacentral:rRNA from 1 species